UACGUAGGGUGCAAGCGUUAAUCGGAAUUACUGGGCGUAAAGCGUGCGCAGGCGGUUUUGUAGGACAGAGGUGAAAUCCCCGGGCUCAACCUGGGAACUGCCUUUGUGACUGCAAGGCUUGAGUGCGGCAGAGGGGGAUGGAAUUCCGCGUGUAGCAGUGAAAUGCGUAGAUAUGCGGAGGAACACCGAUGGCGAAGGCAAUCCCCUGGGCCUGCACUGACGCUCAUGCACGAAAGCGUGGGGAGCAAACAGG
rnacentral:rRNA from 1 species